rnacentral:rRNA from 1 species
CCAGACUCCUACGGGAGGCAGCAGUGGGGGAUAUUGCACAAUGGGGGGAACCCUGAUGCAGCGACGCCGCGUGGGUGAAGGAGCGUUUCGGCGCGUAAAGCCCUAUCGGCAGGGAAGAAGGAGGACGGUACCUGAGUAAGAAGCCCCGGCUAACUACGUGCCAGCAGCCGCGGUAAUACGUAGGGGGCAAGCGUUAUCCGGAUUUACUGGGUGUAAAGGGAGCGUAGACGGCCAGACAAGUCUGAAGUGAAAGCCCGUGGCUUAACCGCGGAACGGCUUUGGAAACUGUGGAACUGGAGUGCUGGAGAGGCAAGCGGAAUUCCUAGUGUAGCGGUGAAAUGCGUAGAUAUUAGGGGGAACACCAGUGGCGAAGGCGGCUUCCUGGUCUGCAACUGACACUGAGGCGCGAAAGCGUGGGGAGCAAACAGGAUUAGAUACCCGAGUACG